CGCUGGCAUGGCCGCGGGGGUGGCGGGCGUCUCCGAUGCCCGCGAUGCCCUGCCGGAAGCACCCGGGUUCGACGCCCCGACCCUGUGC
rnacentral:tRNA from 1 species